rnacentral:lncRNA from 1 species
UGGACGAUCCUCGGCCUUCAACGGUGAUACCAGUCCCAAGCUCAACCCUCGCAAGUUUGCUCAACCCACUUUCUUCUCGUUCCUUGCCUCAAUUAAUCACUCCUUGUCUGCCAUCAAAAAUCUCAAAAAUUCACCUCUUAAUAUAUGCAAGCUCGAUAGGCUAAAAAAGAAAAUUAUUGAAUGCGUACAACCCUACAUUCUCCAAUCCCCAAAGUUAUAACUCUUUUGGUAUAUCCCACCUGUUGUACCAUCUAUUCGUGCUUCCACAUCGUGGAUCGCCAUGGACAAGAAUAACUUCAGUCGUCGCAUUAUAUACUGUGCUUGUACAUAUUGAGACAUAGACACGUAGUCUACCAUCGAUUCAUACAAUAAUAAUGAUGAUGAACCUCCCUCGUCUAGCUAUGCCAGUCUCUGUGCUUUGACAUUUUUAAAUGACAACUCUCUUCUUUUCUCCAUGAACAGCGACUCCUG